rnacentral:tRNA from 1 species
AGGGAUUUAGCUCAAUGGUACAGCAUCUGCCUGGCAAGCAUGAGCCAUGAGUUUAAUCCCUG